rnacentral:rRNA from 1 species
CCUACGGGAGGCAGCAGUGGGGAAUAUUGCACAAUGGGCGCAAGCCUGAUGCAGCGACGCCGCGUGAGCGAUGAAGGCCUUCGGGUCGUAAAGCUCUGUCCUAAGGGAAGAAUAAUGACGGUACCUUAGGAGGAAGCCCCGGCUAACUACGUGCCAGCAGCCGCGGUAAUACGUAGGGGGCGAGCGUUAUCCGGAAUCACUGGGCGUAAAGGGUGCGUAGGCGGCCCUGCAAGUCAGGAGUUAAAUCCCUCGGCUCAACCGAGGUCAGCUCUUGAAACUGUAGGGCUUGAGUGCAGGAGAGGAGGGGGGAAUUCGUGGGGUAGGGGUGAAAUGGGAAGAAAUUAGGAGGAACACCAGUGGCGAGGGCGGCUUCCGGGACUGCAACUGACGCUGGGGCACGAAAGCGUGGGGAGCGAACAGGAUUAGAUACCCUUGUAGUC